GCCCAGAUAGCUCAGUUGGUAGAGCAGAGGACUGAAAAUCCUCGUGUCACUGGUUCGAUCCCGGUUCUGGGCA
rnacentral:tRNA from 1 species